GCACUGCCCGGUAGCUAAAUGCGGAAGAGAUAAGUGCUGAAAGCAUCUAAGCACGAAACUUGCCCCGAGAUGAGUUCUCCCUGAGACUUAGAGUCUCCUGAAGGAACGUUGAAGACGACGACGUUGAUAGGCCGGGUGUGUAAGCGCAGCGAUGCGUUGAGCUAACCGGUACUAAUGAACCGUGAGGCUUAACCUUACAACGCCGAAGAUGUUUUG
rnacentral:rRNA from 1 species